ensembl:miRNA
UUGAGCGAGAGAUUGUGGCGCACGGAGUUCUUCCAGCCCUGGUAGGCGCCGCGGAAGAAGGGGAAGCGCGCCUGCAGGAACUGGUAGAUCUCGCUGAG